AGAGUUUGAUCCUGGCUCAAGAUGAACGCUAGCGGCAGGCUUAACACAUGCAAGUCGAGGGGCAUCGGGAGGGAAGCUUGCUUUCCUUGCCGGCGACCGGCGCACGGGUGAGUAACACGUAUGCAACCUGCCCUCUUCAGGGGGACAACCUUCCGAAAGGGAGGCUAAUCCCGCGUAUAUCGGUUUCGGGCAUCCGAGAUCGAGGAAAGAUUCAUCGGAAGAGGAUGGGCAUGCGGCGCAUUAGCUAGACGGCGGGGUAACGGCCCACCGUGGCGACGAUGCGUAGGGGUUCUGAGAGGAAGGUCCCCCACACUGGUACUGAGACACGGACCAGACUCCUACGGGAGGCAGCAGUGAGGAAUAUUGGUCAAUGGGAGAGAUCCUGAACCAGCCAAGCCGCGUGAGGGAAGACGGCCCUAUGGGUUGUAAACCUCUUUUGUCAGAGAACAAAACCCGGGACGUGUCCCGGACUGCGUGUAUCCGAAGAAAAAGCAUCGGCUAACUCCGUGCCAGCAGCCGCGGUAAUACGGAGGAUGCGAGCGUUAUCCGGAUUUAUUGGGUUUAAAGGGUGCGUAGGCGGUCCGUUAAGUCAGCGGUAAAAUUGCGGGGCUCAACCCCGUCGAGCCGUUGAAACUGGCAGACUUGAGUUGGCGAGAAGUACGCGGAAUGCGCGGUGUAGCGGUGAAAUGCAUAGAUAUCGCGCAGAACUCCGAUUGCGAAGGCAGCGUACCGGCGCCAGACUGACGCUGAGGCACGAAAGCGUGGGGAUCGAACAGGAUUAGAUACCCUGGUAGUCCACGCAGUAAACGAUGAAUGCUGGUUGUCCGGGUCGAAUGAGAUCUGGGCGGCGAAGCGAAAGCGAUAAGCAUUCCACCUGGGGAGUACGCCGGCAACGGUGAAACUCAAAGGAAUUGACGGGGGCCCGCACAAGCGGAGGAACAUGUGGUUUAAUUCGAUGAUACGCGAGGAACCUUACCCGGGCUCAAACGGGAGUGGAAUGGAUCAGAGACGGUUCAGCCUACGGGCCGCUUCCGAGGUGCUGCAUGGUUGUCGUCAGCUCGUGCCGUGAGGUGUCGGCUUAAGUGCCAUAACGAGCGCAACCCCCGCCGGCAGUUGCUAACGGGCAAUGCCGAGGACUCUGCCGGGACUGCCGCCGCAAGGCGAGAGGAAGGCGGGGAUGACGUCAAAUCAGCACGGCCCUUACGUCCGGGGCGACACACGUGUUACAAUGGGCGGUACAGCGGGAAGCCAGGCGGCGACGCCGAGCGGAACCCGAAAGCCGUUCUCAGUUCGGAUCGGAGUCUGCAACCCGACUCCGUGAAGCUGGAUUCGCUAGUAAUCGCGCAUCAGCCAUGGCGCGGUGAAUACGUUCCCGGGCCUUGCACACACCGCCCGUCAAG
rnacentral:rRNA from 1 species